AGAACGAACGCUGGCGGCAUGCCUAAUACAUGCAAGUCGAACGAACACUUCGGUGUUAGUGGCGCACGGGUGCGUAACGCGUGGGAAUCUGCCCUUGGGUUCGGAAUAACAGUUGGAAACGACUGCUAAUACCGGAUGAUAUCGAAAGAUCAAAGAUUUAUCGCCCAGGGAUGAGCCCGCGUAGGAUUAGCUAGUUGGUGAGGUAAAGGCUCACCAAGGCGACGAUCCUUAGCUGGUCUGAGAGGAUGAUCAGCCACACUGGGACUGAGACACGGCCCAGACUCCUACGGGAGGCAGCAGUAGGGAAUAUUGGACAAUGGGCGCAAGCCUGAUCCAGCAAUGCCGCGUGAGUGAUGAAGGCCUUAGGGUUGUAAAGCUCUUUACCCGAGAUGAUAAUGACAGUAUCGGAGAAUAAGCCCGGCUAACUCCGUGCCAGCAGCCGC
rnacentral:rRNA from 1 species